AAUCAACGCUGGCGGCGCGCUUAACACAUGCAAGUCGAACGAGAAAGCCGGGGCAACCUGGUGAGUAAAGUGGCGUACGGGUGAGUAACACGUGGAUCAUCUACCCUGGAGUGGGGAAUAACGCUGGGAAACCGGCGCUAAUACCGCAUAAUCCCGAGAGGGCAAAGGAAGCAAUUCCGUUUCAGGAGGAGUCUGCGGCCGAUUAGCUUGUUGGCAGGGUAAAAGCCUACCAAGGCANCGAUCGGUAGCCGGCCUGAGAGGGCACACGGCCACACUGGCACUGAAACACGGGCCAGACUCCUACGGGAGGCAGCAGUGGGGAAUCUUGCACAAUGGGGGCAACCCUGAUGCAGCGACGCCGCGUGAGCGAUGAAGCUCCUCGGAGUGUAAAGCUCUUUCGGCAGGGAAGAUUAUGACGGUACCUGCAGAAGCAGCUGCGGCUAAC
rnacentral:rRNA from 1 species